UUUUUAUUAUGCCUUUAAUCAUAUUUAUAUUAAAUAUAAUAAGUGUAGCCAUUAAAAAGGACCUCUGCUGGUCAGGAAGUGAACUGCAUAUACUUCAUCAAUUCCAGCGUGACCCUUGGUGGCACUGUCUAUACAACCGCUCACAUGACGAUUAAUAAAGAGCAGAACUUAUGUUACAGCAUCAACCAGCAUGAUGGAUGGAUGGAUGGAAAUGAUUGGAUACGAAUGAAUUGACCGUCCUGUAAUCCAGUGAAUCACAGUGGAGGAUUAAAGUCUCAUCUGUGUCUCACUCAUUCUCUCUCAUCACCCGCUGUGUUUAUGUGAGAUGAUGUUUCUUGAGUGUGUCAUAAUCCUAGCAAACAGCACAAAUCACUCGUGAGUGAAGAAUGACCUCCUCACACACUGCACUGAAACCUGAUGUCAGAAUAUCAUCAACAGCUCUGCCCCUGUAUAAUAGCGUUUCCCUCCUGGCUGCAAACACACAGAGUCUGGUACACAGGCACAUCUCACACUCCCCACCUGCGGCUGCUGCUCUGAUGACAGACACCAAACUCAGGUAAGGCUCCAUUUACACUUACUUUUGUCUACAUAAGUUGACCUUAAGUUUUCGAAGCUGAAGUAACCCAUAGAACAAGGCGCUGGCGGGGUUUUUACGAUAAGAUCUGUGCUCUGACAGAGGAUGUGAGGUACGAGAGGUAUCACAAUAGAUACAUGAUUAAAAACGAACCCGAUGUGCUAAAGUGCGGAUCUUUUUGAGGACGUUCUGUNNNNNNNNNNNNNNNNNNNNNNNNNNNNNNNNNNNNNNNNNNNNNNNNNNNNNNNNNNNNNNNNNNNNNNNNNNNNNNNNNNNNNNNNNNNNNNNNNNNNCAAAUCAUGCACUAUGGUAACAAUGUUUUGAGGUCAUAAACGGGGUGUGAAGUAUGGGGGGGUGCUUUACCUGUAAAUAAAUAUAAAGAUACAAUAUGAUUUUAAAUUGUAAUUUUGGCUGCCUCUGAAAUGAGUCAACGUUACCUGACUAGUUGAAGUAAAUACGCUAGAAAACCCCUCUCAUUCAUGAAUGUGCAUUUACAGCAUGGACAGAGCAACAGCAAAAUGUAAGUGUCUAAAAUGCAGUUCAGCUGAAUGAUAAAGUUUGACCCCUUUAACUUUACGCUGUUAAACUGAAUGUACAAAGCAAACUGCUGAAAGGCCCACAAGAGUAAAAUAAGAGUGUGUGGUUUAUGUGUCAAUCAGAUGUGCAUGAAUGGUAACAGUAUGCUCCUGGCAAGUUUUCUUUCAGAAUCAUCAAUGAUCCAUAACACCCCACCCCCAUUCACUUCCAGGUCAUUAACAUAGUUUAACACAGACAUUAACAUAGACUUUGUGCUCCCUAACAAGGGAAAAAAUGGUUAAUGCUUAAAUUGAUAGUUCAUAUAAGAUCAGAACAGCUCAGAAGCUUAAAGGUCAACACUGCACCACACUGGGUGUAAAGAAGAGGCGAGCUUACAGAAAAUUCACAAGCGCACACUAGAAGUGUCAGUAUCUAACUAAAAUAACCUCAUGGUGUGAGAGGAGCUUCUCUCGCUUUCUCUCAGAGAUAAACGCCCUUCUGUCCGGCUCUGUGCUUACAUACCUGGUUUUGCAUGAUGCGUAAUAACAGGAACGAGACCCCCAAAUAAGCGCAGUGCGCUGCGGGCGCGCACAGAUGUCCAAUCAGACUAACAGUGCUCUCGCUCACCUUGAUGAUCGGCUGAUGAACACGCUGCGGAUUCAGAUCUGGAUCAGCACAUCUGUCCACAUCGGUCGGGUCUCUGAAAGUUUGGAGAUCCGAGCGCAGCGUUCAGUAAAUCUGAAUAGUUUCACUGUGUGAUGAAUACAAGCAGCGUCCUGCUCUUCAUCACUCUGUGCCACAAGUGUCUUCCUCUUCGAUCCCCCAGGGCUGGAGAAUUACCGGGAGCGCGCACACGCGAACGCGGAGAAGGCUGAGUGCGUGUGUGAAGCAAUCUCUCCCUGAUUCUGGAGCUGAAGGCGCGUGAAGGCGGUCCAUUAGGGGCACUAGAGAGAGACCGACAUGCUCCGGAUAAAGGCGGCGUCCCGCGAGCACACUAACGAUUUUGGACGCGCUGUCUCACCUGUUGACUGAUUUUGAUUAAAUCUCGCCCUCUCCUGUCGGAGGUCUGUCACGCACACCGAUUAAGAAUGAUCGAGGGUUGAUGGAGUAAAUUACUUUUCUAUCUUGCCAGUCACGUGACACUCGCAGAAACAUCACAGGAGAACCGCUUGAACAGAAACUAUUUGGCGGAAUAAUAUUUUACAACAUACAACUGUAUAUUUCAGUGAAACCCAAGGGUUUGACCUCCAAAUGUAGUACUGAUGGCCACUGUAACAGCACAUGUUGCUCAAGAGUACAUGGCUGUAAGUGGCCUGUCCAUAAAACAUGGACUAUACAUUAAGACAAAACAUCAUUAAGGCAACUCACAUUCAAUAUUAAAAUAAUCAAUAAGAAUUAAAAAAAUCUAUAAAAUAUAAUCAUGUGUGAUGUGUCACAUGUACAGGGACUUCUGAGAAUGUCCUUUUAUUGUUUUUCACCAUAAAAAGGGUAAUAUGGGCAUAGUUUUUACUAAAACGCAGUAUUUUAAAGUAAAAUAACACAAGAGAAAAAAAAUGACAUUAUUACUUGUAUAUAUGGUAAGGUGUUUUAUUGUAGUCUACUUACU
rnacentral:lncRNA from 1 species